rnacentral:sRNA from 1 species
UACUGUGUUUAUGGGACACUGAGCCUGGUCAGGGGCUUUGGUAUAGGGGGCAGAGGAAGAAAGUCAAACAUGUGAGUUAGGAAUGUACAUUAAUGUUUGAUUUAGCAGUAACUAAGUACAAACCAUCAUCCCCCUUCUAUUCCCCAUCUUGAAGCAAUCAGGCUAUUUGUAUGCUGGAAAGACGAGAGAAACCUUCACCAAGCAUGUUUGGUGAACUGCUGCAGAAUGCCAGCACCAUGGGGGAUCUGCGGAACUGUCCAAGCAACUGUGGAGAGAGGAUCAGGAUUCGCCGUGUUUUGAUGAAUGCUCCACAGAUUAUCACGAUUGGGCUGGUAUGGGACUCAGACCACUCA